UACGUAGGAUGCAAGCGUUGUCCGGAUUUAUUGGGUUUAAAGGGUGCGUAGGCGGCCUAUUAAGUUAGUGGUAAAAACGUUCGGCUUAACCGGAUACCCGCCAUUGAUACUGAUAGACUUGAGUGCGACAGAGGGUGUUGGAAUGUGUGGUGUAGCGGUGAAAUGCUUAGAUAUCACGCAGAACACCAAUUGCGAAGGCAGAUGCCUAUGUCGUAACUGACGCUGAGACGCGAAAGCGUGGGGAGCAAACAGG
rnacentral:rRNA from 1 species